rnacentral:rRNA from 1 species
CCUACGGGCGGCAGCAGUGGGGAAUAUUGGACAAUGGGGGGAACCCUGAUCCAGCCAUGCCGCGUGUGUGAAGAAGGCCCUCGGGUUGUAAAGCACUUUCAGUGAGGAAGAACGCCUGGUGGUUAAUACCCAUCAGGAAAGACAUCACUCACAGAAGAAGCACCGGCUAACUCCGUGCCAGCAGCCGCGGUAAUACGGAGGGUGCGAGCGUUAAUCGGAAUUACUGGGCGUAAAGCGCGCGUAGGUGGCUUGAUAAGCCGGUUGUGAAAGCCCCGGGCUCAACCUGGGAACGGCAUCCGGAACUGUCAAGCUAGAGUGCAGGAGAGGAAGGUAGAAUUGCCGGUGUAGCGGUGAAAUGCGUAGAGAUCGGGAGGAAUACCAGUGGCGGAGGCGGCCCUCUGGACUGACACUGACACUGAGGUGCGAAAGCGUGGGUAGCAAACAGGAUUAGAUACCCUUGUAGUC